rnacentral:lncRNA from 13 species
AGAUUAAUAAUCAUCACAGAGUGGACCACAGCUCCAUAAAGCACGGUUCAUCGUGUAAUUUGACUUGACAGUGGACACCCACGUUUUUCUGUAGCUAAACACUGCAUAACAGCUGGUUAUCCCAGUAAAGAUGAUGCCCUACUGUGGAUUACAGUACCAUUCAUGACAAUGACACACCCACCAAGUAAAUGCAUGCACCAAGCAGUUCUUCCACAUGAUCUCUGACAGGACAUCAAGUUGGACUAAACCUCACAACCAACGCUCACUGAAAACACCCUAGUUUCAAAAUCAACUCGAUGCUCAUGGAAAGAACAACUUCACAAAGACUUAAAACCUAAAUCAACCUCCUACAGUAUGUUGGUUGGAAGAGAAUUCCCCAAUUUGGCCUACUGCGGCCCCGUAAUCCCUCUCGCACACGAACCCGAGCAGGACUAGAACCCUCACCUCCACUCCGUUGCCUUGGCGACCAACAACCAUGUCGUACCGCACGCCCAAUUUCACCAUGCAGCAGAAGCUCUACUUCCUGCAGAGGAUCCAGGGCGUGGUGCACACAGUCCAGGACUUCAGGAAGGACACCAACACUACUGUGCACCGCAACGCCGUGUGGGCCGAGGUGGUGGAAGCCUUCAACGCUGCCUUCCCCGACCGGCCACCGAGCUCGGUGGGCACCAUGAAGACCCUGUGGAAGAGGCUGAAGGUGGAGAGCCGCCAGGCGCUGCACCGGCGCCAGGAGCAGGUGGUCGCCGGCAUGCCUGUCACGGCCCUGACCGAGGUUCAGCGGGAGAUUACGGCCAUGGUACCCAACCUCAUCUCCAACCAGGACGACAUGGACGGAGAGGUGGGCUACACCGGCCUCAGGCCUGGCUCCCCCACAGCAGUGACGUGUACUGCAGCGACCAGUGGGAGUGACCAGGACGAUGCUGAUAACAGUCACAAUGAGGAGAGCGAGAGUAAAGACCAGGUAGCCAUGAGCAUCGGCAUCGCCUCCUUCACAGCACUAGCAGGAAGUGACGGACCCCUCCGGAUCCCCUUCUCCACCAGCCAGCCCAACGCCUCCACUCUCACCCACAGUGAAACCUCCUGGUCUGGGACAUCCCCGUCCUUCCUCCCUCCGCCCAUCCCAUCUGCCUCAUCCUCCAGCCUGUUCACCUCUUGCCCCGUGAACUUUGACCUGCCCUACGUCCCCCGGGCCGCCCCGCAACCCCUCACCUCUCUGGCAGCGGCAGCAGGGCGGGGGUCUGAGGACCCACGGUACGGGCCGCGCAUGCUGGAACUGUCGGAGUUGGAACAUGAGCAGAGGAUGAGAGUCCUACAGAUGGAACAGAAGGUUUUAGAAGACAAGAGGAAGGCGGUGAGGCAGAAAGAGAAAGCCUACAGGCUAAAAAAGAGAUACUACCAGGCUAAGCUGAAGAAGAUGGGGGAAGAGGUACGACCGUGCUCGAGUGGCGAGGACACUGAUGAUCAAAUCAUUUGA